CAUUAUUAUCACUAUCAUUAUUAUCAUUAUUAUCACUAUCAUUAUUAUCACUAUCAUUAUUAUCAUUAUUAUCACUAUCAUUAUUAUCAUUAUUAUUAUCGGUAGCAUGUUUCAACCGUUGGAGAACGCUAUUUCGGCCAAACUCAUUCCGGCUUUAACGGGCAGAGGACCUUGUUCCAGCGUAGAAAGAACAAUACUCUCUUUGCCAACGCGUCAUGGUGGACUCAGCCUUGUUAAUCCUGUUGAAGUCGCGAAUAGUCAUUAUAACGCAUCAUUAAAGAUUACUGAACCUCUGAAGAAGAUGAUCGUUAGCCAAACGACAACUUAUAAGAAAAUUUAUCUACACGACAUAAAAGCCGAUCUGCGAAGGCAAAAGAACCAGUACCACCAGCAACUAGCCACGGAGGUCAGAGAAAGCUUGUCCCCAAUAGACCUUUAUAAAAAGGUUGACGUCAGCAGGUUUGUGACGUAUUUGCGGAGGAAAUCCCGAAAGCUCAGAGUUUUUUACUUGUUUUGAGUUUUUUUUAAAGCCAAAAGAAGCCAGUAUUAUGGUAAGUUUGAAGUACAUUUUUCUAUAUAUAGGCCAAAUGAGUUUUCAUAUUCGUUGUAGUUUAA